GAUGAACGCUGGCGGCGUGCCUAAUACAUGCAAGUCGAGCGAACAGACGAGGAGCUUGCUCCUCUGACGUUAGCGGCGGACGGGUGAGUAACACGUGGAUAACCUACCUAUAAGACUGGGAUAACUUCGGGAAACCGGAGCUAAUACCGGAUAAUAUAUUGAACCGCAUGGUUCAAUAGUGAAAGACGGUUUUGCUGUCACUUAUAGAUGGAUCCGCGCCGCAUUAGCUAGUUGGUAAGGUAACGGCUUACCAAGGCAACGAUGCGUAGCCGACCUGAGAGGUUGAUCGGCCACACUAGAACUGAGACACGGUCCAGCCUCCUACGGGCGGCAGCAGUAGGGAAUCUUCCGCAAUGGGCGGAAGCCUGACGGAGCACCGCCGCGUGAGUGAUGAAGGUCUUCGGAUCGUAAAACUCUCUUAUUAGGGAAGAACAAAUGUGUAAGUAACUAUGCACGUCUUGACGGUACCUAAUCAGAAAGCCACGGCUAACUACGUG
rnacentral:rRNA from 1 species